UACGUAGGGGGCGAGCGUUAUCCGGAUUCAUUGGGCGUAAAGCGCGCGUAGGCGGCCCGUUAGGUCGGGAGUUAAAUCCGGGGGCUCAACCCCCGCCCGCUCCCGAUACCGGCGGGCUUGAGUCUGGUAGGGGAAGGCGGAAUUCCCAGUGUAGCGGUGGAAUGCGCAGAUAUUGGGAAGAACACCGGUGGCGAAGGCGGCCUUCUGGGCCACGACUGACGCUGAGGCGCGAAAGCUAGGGGAGCGAACAGGAUUAGAUACCCUGGUAGUCCCUGAGCGGGCUGGCAAGG
rnacentral:rRNA from 1 species